AUUGAACGCUGGCGGCAGGCUUAACACAUGCAAGUCGAGCGGGGUGAUGGUGCUUGCACUAUCACUUAGCGGCGGACGGGUGAGUAAUGCUUAGGAAUCUGCCUAUUAGUGGGGGACAACAUCUCGAAAGGGAUGCUAAUACCGCAUACGUCCUACGGGAGAAAGCAGGGGAUCACUUGUGACCUUGCGCUAAUAGAUGAGCCUAAGUCGGAUUAGCUAGUUGGUGGGGUAAAGGCCUACCAAGGCGACGAUCUGUAGCGGGUCUGAGAGGAUGAUCCGCCACACUGGGACUGAGACACGGCCCGGGCGCCUACGGGAGGCAGCAGUGGGGAAUAUUGGAAAAUGGGGGGAACCCUGAUCCAGCCAUGCCGCGUGUGUGAAGAAGGCCUUAUGGUUGUAAAGCACUUUAAGCGAGGAGGAGGCUCUUUUGGUUAAUACCCAAGAUGAGUGGACGUUACUCGCAGAAUAAGCACCGGCUAACUCUGUGCCAGCCGCCGCCGUAA
rnacentral:rRNA from 1 species